rnacentral:lncRNA from 1 species
GAACUUCUCGCGAGCUCCCACGAGAUGUGGACGACAUAAAGGAAGUCCGGACGCCCUGGGAACCUCGCUGUGGUGAAUUCCCAUAUCCUUCGUUGUGUUUCUCAGACGCAGCGUGUACUUUUAUUUUUGCUUUUAUCUUCUUUUUCUCCUGUUCUGCCCACGUUCUCUCUGCAGAGCAAGAAGGACCUGGACUACUUUGGAUUGGCGAACCAUUGCUAAAGGAACUACCAGACAACAGAGGCACUGAACAGAUACUAUUUGCCAGAAAGAUUUCACCUCUUUGAGUACUGAAGACUUUCGUUUCAUAAGAUUAAAUUUAAUGCCAGAUCUGCUAGCCUCUGGAAUAGCAUAUCAGAGGGGCCAGGAGAAGACCUAUGGCUCAAUAUCACUGCAAACUGGAGCGACGAAUCUGAGAGCGAAGCAAAGAUAUUAUAGCUUGAGCUUCGAAAAGAAGACGAGAUGUAAAUUCUUUACUGGAACUGGAGGAAAAAGAGAUGCACAUCAGGAAACAGCUGAUAAUGUGAAUCUGGAGUAUGAUCCAACAAGAGCAAGGGUUUGCCUUUAACCAAGUCAGAAAGGACCCAGUCUUUGUGGUAGGAAACUCAGAGGCAGGGAAGACUCCAGGAGGUCCUUCCAGCAGAGGUCAGCAGGCCCAGCAUCCAGGAGGCCAGGGGAUCAGGAGACACCCAAGGCCUGACGGACGCAGGACAGGGAGAAGUGUCAGCAGAGCCUGGCAGUGAUGGCAGCCGCAGGAGAGGGCCUGCUCUGGCUACAAAUAGAUGGACUCAGCGAUGACUGAAGCUGUGGCUGGAAAAGGGAAUGUGAGCAUGAGUCACAGUCUCUUCUUUCCCUGGAAUUUCCAGCCCAGGCCUUCUGUUGGUUAAGUCUAUUGGAAAGCAGAAAGAAACAGAGAAUUUUGGUGUUGCCUGUAUCUUAUAUCUCUAUUAUUUACAAAUUAUAAUCUUUAUAUGGGCCGUUUUAGAGUAACAAGGACUAGAUAGACAUUCUACCUUUGACAACUGUAAGACCAGAGAAACAAAGCACACGAAGCAAGUUUUUUUUUUUUUUUUGGUAUCAGGGAUCGAACUUGGG